UGGCGCACGGGUGCAUAACACGUAUGUAAUUUGCCCAUAACUGGGGGAUAGCCUUCCGAAAGGAAGAUUAAUACCCCAUAACCCAGCGAGGUGGCAUCACCUUUUUGGUAAAACUCUGGUGGUUAUGGAUAAGCAUGCGUCUGAUUAGCUAGUUGGCGAGGUAACGGCUCACCAAGGCAACGAUCAGUAGGGGGUCUGAGAGGAUGAUCCCCCACACGGGUACUGAGACACGGACCCGACUCCUACGGGAGGCAGCAGUAAGGAAUAUUGGACAAUGGAGGCAACUCUGAUCCAGCCAUGCCGCGUGAAGGAUGAAGGCGCUAUGCGUUGUAAACUUCUUUUCUACUAGAAAAAACAUUUGGUUUCGUACCGAAUCUGAUUGUACAGUAGGAAUAAGCAUCGGCUAACUUCGUGCCAGCAGCCGCGGUAAUACGAAGGAUGCAAGCGUUAUCCGGAUUCACUGGGUUUAAAGGGUGUGCAGGUGGGAUAGUAAGUCAGUGGUGAAAGCCCCCGACUCAAUCGGGGAACUGCCAUAGAUACUGCUGUUCUUGAGUGUAGUUGAGGCGGGCGGAAUAUGACAUGUAGCGGUGAAAUGCGUAGAUAUGUCAUAGAACACCGAUCGCGAAGGCAGCUCGCCAAACUAUUACUGACACUGAAACACGAAAGUGCGGGGAUCAAACAGGAUUAGAUACCCUGUAGUCCGCACUGUAAACGAUGAUCACUCGUUGUUGGCGAUACACAGUCAGCGACUAAGCGAAAGCAUUAAGUGAUCCACCUGGGGAGUACGACCGCAAGGUUGAAACUCAAGGAAUUGACGGGGGCCCGCACAAGCGGAGGAGCAUGUGGUUUAAUUCG
rnacentral:rRNA from 1 species